ensembl:snoRNA
CUAGUACUCUGCAGGUCCUGCAGGUGUGGCUGCUGUGUCGCCUGUGCAUUAAUAGAUUGCAAGGAGGAGAAAGGCUAUGUCUAUGCUCAGUGUUCUGAUCUGAAUGAUCAGUAGCCUAAUAGU